UACGAAGGGGGCUAGCGUUGUUCGGAUUAACUGGGCGUAAAGGGUGCGUAGGCGGGUUUUUAAGUCAGGGGUGAAAUCCCGAGGCUCAACCUCGGAACUGCCUUUGAUACUGGAAAUCUUGAGUCUGGGAGAGGUGAGUGGAACUGCGAGUGUAGAGGUGAAAUUCGUAGAUAUUCGCAAGAACACCGGUGGCGAAGGCGGCUCACUGGCCCGGAACUGACGCUGAGGCACGGAAAGCGUGGGGAGCAAACAGGG
rnacentral:rRNA from 1 species